GGGGCUGAUUCUGGAUUCGACGGGAUUUGCGAAACCCAAGGUGCAUGCCGAGGGGCGGUUGGCCUCGUAAAAAGCCGCAAAAAAAAUAGUCGCAAACGACGAAAACUACGCACUAGCAGCUUAAUAACCUGCUUAGAGCCCUCUCUCCCUAGCCUCCGCUCUUAGGACGGGGAUCAAGAGAGGUCAAACCCAAAAGAGAUCGCGUGAAUACCUUGCCUGGGGUUGAAGCGUUAAACUUAAUCAGGAUAGUUUGUUGAUGGCGUGUCUGUCCGCAGUUGGCAAAUGAAUUUAAAGACUAGACUAAGCAUGUAGUACCGAGGAUGUAGAAAUUUCGGACGCGGGUUCAACUCCCGCCAGCUCCACCA
rnacentral:tmRNA from 1 species